rnacentral:rRNA from 1 species
GGGAUUGCCCCAGUAACGGCGAGUGAAGCGGCAACAGCUCAAAUUUGAAAUCUGGCCCCCCCGCGGGCCCGAGUUGUAAUUUGCAGAGGAUGCUUUUGGCGCGGCGCCUUCCGAGUGCCCUGGAACGGGACGCCAUAGAGGGUGAGAGCCCCGUCUGGUCGGACGCCCAGCCUCUGUAAAGCUCCUUCGACGAGUCGAGUAGUUUGGGAAUGCUGCUCUAAACGGGAGGUAUAUGUCUUCUAAAGCUAAAUACUGGCCAGAGACCGAUAGCGCACAAGUAGAGUGAUCGAAAGAUGAAAAGCACUUUGAAAAGAGGGUUAAACAGUACGUGAAAUUGUUGAAAGGGAAGCGCUUGUGACCAGACUCGGGCGCGGCGAAUCACCCGGCGUUCUCGCCGGUGCACUUCGACGCGCCCGGGCCAGCAUCAGCUCGCCGCGGGGGACAAAGGCGCCGGGAACGUGGCUCCCCAGGGAGUGUUAUAGCCCGGCGCGCAACGCCCCGCGGCGGACUGAGGUUCGCGCGUCCGCAAGGAUGCUGGCGUAAUGGUCACCAGUGACCCGUCUUGAAACACGGACCAAGGAGUCGUCCUCGUAUGCGAGUGUUCGGGUGUCAAACCCCUACGCGCAAUGAAAGUGAACGCGGGUGAGAGCCUCGCGGCGCAUCAUCGACCGAUCCUGAUGUUCUCGGAUGGAUUUGAGUAGGAGCAUACGGGGCCGGACCCGAAAGAAGGUGAACUAUGCCUGUGUAGGGUGAAGCCAGAGGAAACUCUGGUGGAGGCUCGCAGCGGUUCUGACGUGCAAAUCGAUCGUCAAACAUGGGCAUGGGG